GACAGGACGGAGCUGCUGAUCCACAACGUGCUGUCCGGGCAACUUCCCUGACUGAGAAACCGGUGAAGAGAUUGAGGCCUCAUAUCUUGUUCGUUUGGAGCAGACCCUCAGUAUUGUGGGAUCUUAGAGCAUAAAGGCAAAGAAAAUCAUGAAAAAAGUUCCCACCAGAUUUUGAAGAACCUCAAUUUCAUCAUCCGCAUGAUGGUAAUCAUACCAACCCUAUCAUUCAUCACCCGACUGCUGUGAGAAUUGAAUGGGAAAAGACGAGGUAUGGAAGCAACCUAAAGAUCCAUAAUAGAUGGAUGGAGAAAGAAGAUAAUUUACAUGGAUGCAAAGAAACAUUACUCAAUCAGAAAAAAAGAAUAAAAUUUACCAAUUGCAACAAUCUGGAUGAACCUGGAGGCGAAGCAAUGCUCAAGAAAUGUUUACAGCUGAGGAGGUACCGAGGGGAUUGCCUGAAGGACACGAAGUCCAUCCAUCUCUCCAAAUAGUUUGGAUUAUUUCUCAAGAUCAAGGUGUGUUGAGCCUGAGAUGGGUUGUUCUGCAGACUUAUAUAAAUCACAUGGUAAGUAGUCUACUUCACCAUGCACAUACAACACCUUUGACAAUGGAGCAUUGAUCAAGACCAGUACACCUCGGUGACAAAGAUGACAGAUUCUUAUGCAGCAUGAGCAGAAUAAGGACAACAUUUUGUCUUAAAAGGUAGCAAAGACAUCACACAGUCACC
ensembl:lncRNA